rnacentral:rRNA from 1 species
GAUGGACGCUGGCGGCGUGCCUAAUACAUGCAAGUCGAGCGAACAGACGAGGAGCUUGCUCCUCUGACGUUAGCGGCGGACGGGUGAGUAACACGUGGAUAACCUACCUAUAAGGCUGGGAUAACUUCGGGAAACCGGAGCUAAUACCGGAUAAUAUAUUGAACCGCAUGGUUCAAUAGUGAAAGACGGUUUUGCUGUCACUUAUAGAUGGAUCCGCGCCGCAUUAGCUAGUUGGUAAGGUAACAGCUUACCAAGGCAACGAUGCGUAGCCGACCUGAGAGGGUGAUCGGCCACACUGGAACUGAGACACGGUCCAGACUCCUACGGGAGGCAGCAGUAGGGAAUCUUCCGCAAUGGGCGAAAGCCUGACGGAGCAACGCCGCGUGAGUGAUGAAGGUCUUCGGAUCGUAAAACUCUGUUAUUAGGGAAGAACAAAUGUGUAAGUAACUAUGCACGUCUUGACGGUACCUAAUCAGAAAGCCACGGCUAACUACGUG